GUCGGGAUAGCUCAGUUGUAAAGCCCGGGGA
rnacentral:tRNA from 1 species